rnacentral:lncRNA from 1 species
UUUGGACGUUUCUUAAUAUGAUUUUUAAUGGUUGCAUUUGAAAUACUUUGAAUUUACUCAAUAUUCAGCACAAAGCCAUUAAAAGUAAAUGGCCGGGAGGAUGGGCUCAGUAUAAACAUGAAGUGAUGUAUGUCAUUAGUGGACGGGCGCUGUGUCUAAGCAGGGCAUCCAUCAGAUUUCAAAAAUAUCUGCCAGGGUUUCUCCAGGGCCAUAACUGAUGUUUGUUCUUGGUACAGUUGCUAAUGCUUAUUCUUUUUCCUGACUGUUCCCCAAUGUCUUCACCUCUCCCUGAAUUUUAUAUUUCAAUUUUAUUUUCUAUUUGUUUCUAGGACAGUAUGAAUACGAAUACUUUGACUUUGCAAUUAGCCAUAUGUCAAGAAAGCAAUCAAAGGAGUUUACCUUCCUGGCUAAGAAACAGCUGGACAUGCUUCCCAUCUACUGGAACUAGUUUAAUGGAACCCAUUUGGACUCAAUAUUUUGGGAUUAAAAUUUAUAAAGACAAUUCAGAAAUUUCUCUUGCAAGAUUAUGAAAACUGAUUCUAUCCCACCGUGGUUCACUGUUACUUAUACUAUGAAUAAAAUAUUCUGACCUGGAAGAGAAUC